rnacentral:rRNA from 1 species
AGCAGCCGCGGUAAUUCCAGCUCCAAUAGCGUAUAUUAAAGUUGUUGCAGUUAAAAAGCUCGUAGUUGAAUUUCGGGAUCAAUCUAUCGGUCGUGCAAUAGUACGUACUGAUUUUAUUGAUUCCUCCCUUCUGAUGAACUAUGAUGUCAUUAAUUUGGUGUCAUAGGGAAUCAGGACUGUUACUUUGAAAAAAUUAGAGUGUUUAAAGCAGGCUCACGCUUGAAUACAUUAGCAUGGAAUAACGAAAUAGGACGUUUGAUUCUAUUUUGUUGGUUUCUAGGAUCGACGUAA